rnacentral:rRNA from 1 species
GACGAACGCUGGCGGCGUGCUUAACACAUGCAAGUCGAACGGAAAGGCCCUGCUUUUGUGGGGUGCUCGAGUGGCGAACGGGUGAGUAACACGUGAGUAACCUGCCCUUGACUUUGGGAUAACUUCAGGAAACUGGGGCUAAUACCGGAUAGGAGCUCCUGCUGCAUGGUGGGGGUUGGAAAGUUUCGGCGGUUGGGGAUGGACUCGCGGCUUAUCAGCUUGUUGGUGGGGUAGUGGCUUACCAAGGCUUUGACGGGUAGCCGGCCUGAGAGGGUGACCGGCAACAUGGGGACUGGGAUACGGCCAAGACACCUACGGGAGGCAGAAGUGGGGAAUAAUGAACAAGGGGCGGAAGCCUAAUGAAGAAAGGCGGGGUGCGGGAUGACGGCCUUCGGGUGGUAAACCGCUUUCGCCUGUGACGAAGCGUGAGUGACGGUAAUGGUAAAGAAGCACCGGCUAACUACGUG